CAUUUGAGAUUAGAAGAUGGAAAACGAAAAAAAAAAAUACACAAUCUGAAAACAUUUGUUGAGAUUCAGAAUCCAACUCUUUCAUUCUUCUCCCUCUUUUUCGUUUUCCCUAGCCUCCAUUUAGAUUCAAAAUUCCUAACUUUCACGUCCGUUCUCCACCGUCCGUUCUCCACUGUCGACGGCCAUUAAAUACCAGGUUUUUGGGUUUUGCUUCUGGGUUUUCCGUCGACAGUAAGCUUGACCGUCUUCCGUUCUCACGCUUUUUGGUUUGUGGGCUUUCACCGUCAACAACCACUGACUGGUGACCCAAAACCCAGGUUUGCAGGUUUUUUUUUUUUCCUUCUGCCGGCUUGUGGCUUACGGUUUGUGCACAUCAAGUACCCUGGAUCUAUGCUUUAGAUCCAGCGUAAUCACGGAUGAGCGUGUGGUUAAGAAUGAUUGGGCAUGUAAAUUUUUUCAAUUGGAUUCAUGAACCUUCAAUGUGUGAGCACGAUCGAACAAUGUUGAAGCGGCUGUGUAGAGACACAAGUGGCUAAAGGCUAAAAAUGAGAGGUUAAAGGCUGCAAGUGACGAUGGAAAAAGAAAAUAACAAAUACAAGGCAAUAAUGGAUAUGAAAGUUGCUCAAGCUCGGAAGCAGUUAGCGUUUGAAAAGGAAAAAUACCGAUUGAUGGAGGAAUACUACCAGAUCACAUUAGCCUUUUCAUGAGGUUUUUUUUUUUAUUCUGUUUCUAGCAUUAGAUAUUAAUUGGAUAUAGAUACGUUAAUAUCUUUAGGAUGUAAUGUUAGAUUUUAGAGAAUGUUUAGGUGUAUGAAGUGGGGAAUAGAGAAUGUUUGGGUGUAUGUACUGAUAGGGCUGGGUUUGGCAUACUUCUUGUUCUAGAGAUUUCAGAUGCUCCAGCUUGUUACGAACUUGGACAAAAAGACCAAUUAAUUUUAUCAUUUAUUUUUUGUAUUGAGUUGUGAUUUCUUCUUGUCUUUUGCCAUUACUGGUGGUUUGAAUUCAGAUAUUACGGUCAUCAAUGAUUGAAUUGAAGUUUCUAUCGCGUA